CGAAGAAUUCGAAGCCAUUUGGAUUGAAAUGAUUAUGAAACACUCAAAAUCUAUUUCAUUUGCAUAACUUACAGACCACAUCGCGCCAUCUACGCAAUAAUUUCAACGUUCUAUACCAUGAUAUGAUCUCCUCAACCAUAGCUGAAGACAAAGAAACCUUAACUGCGGGGACCUUAACAGUAAUUAUAACAAUCUAACUGAUCAAAAGGAACUGAAAGAUAUGUAAAUAAAAAUCAUAAAAAUCAGAUCUCUUUACACGUUUACACAAGGCGUGAACAGACUUCAUGAAGGUGAGAGGGAGAGCAAUUGGACGAUGCUAAAAGUAUGAUAGUGCUCAAAUCUGUGCGGCCCACAUUAGUUUUGGAACCAUAUGGCAAUAAUUGGAAAUAUUUGCUUUAUUCUUUAAAAAACUUACUCCACUGAUGAGGCGAUCAAUCGUUAGGAAAUAGAAAGAAUAAUGAAUUAAUUAGGAAACUCGAAAACCGCCUUAGCUCGGCUGACAUGAGUUGCCUUUGACAUUGUUUACAUGUGACCACGACCUCGUCAAAUUUCCUCGAAAAAUGGAAUUGACGCAGGAAAUGGUUUGUUUGUCUGAAAUUGUCUUUAAUUCCCUGCUCGAGGAAAAAUUUCAGACACGUUGUAUGGUUUUGUUUAAAUAAACUGUGGUAUUUCCUUGCAAGAAAUGUAUUUUCGCUUGCUCGAAACAAUCUGGAAAGAUGAAAUUCUUUGAGAAUCAGCAAUCAUUUACCUAACUGUUUGCUGUUUGACUUCCGAUUGAUACGGAUUGACAAUGCAGGUCGACGAUGUUCAAGUGUUGUUCCUGCAACGAAGAACCGAAAGGCAAUGACUACGAAUACAACUAUAUGUCGACCUUGCUACGAUAAAAUCACAGAAUUACAAUCACAAUCACAAUCACAGAAUCUAAAUCUAGCAAAAGUGUCCUGAGUCAUUUCACCAAAGUUCACGAUUGCAGUAGUAUUCAUAACCACGAAGGAACAAAUGCAAACUUCCAGUAAGUCUAUCUCAACGUACGUCACAUCUGGGUGCAUUGCAAGCUUGUGGAGACACUGACAGAUAGUUUUGUU